CAGGUCAUAGUGAUCCGGUGGUUCUGAAUGGAAGGGCCAUCGCUCAACGGAUAAAAGGUACUCCGGGGAUAACAGGCUGAUACCGCCCAAGAGUUCAUAUCGACGGCGGUGUUUGGCACCUCGAUGUCGGCUCAUCACAUCCUGGGGCUGAAGUAGGUCCCAAGGGUAUGGCUGUUCGCCAUUUAAAGUGGUACGCGAGCUGGGUUUAGAACGUCGUGAGACAGUUCGGUCCCUAUCUGCCGUGGGCGCUGGAGAAUUGAGGGGGGCUGCUCCUAGUACGAGAGGACCGGAGUGGACGCAUCACUGGUGUUCGGGUUGUCAUGCCAAUGGCACUGCCCGGUAGCUAAAUGCGGAAGAGAUAAGUGCUGAAAGCAUCUAAGCACGAAACUUGCCCCGAGAUGAGUUCUCCCUGACUCCUUGAGAGUCCUGAAGGAACGUUGAAGACGACGACGUUGAUAGGCCGGGUGUGUAAGCGCAGCGAUGCGUUGAGCUAACCGGUACUAAUGAACCGUGAGGCUUAACCUUACAACGCCGAAG
rnacentral:rRNA from 1 species